GACGAACGCUGGCGGCGUGCUUAACACAUGCAAGUCGAACGGUAAGGCCCUUCGGGGUACACGAGUGGCGAACGGGUGAGUAACACGUGGGUGAUCAGCCCUGCACUUCGGGAUAAGCCUGGGAAACUGGGUCUAAUACCGGAUAGGACCCUGGGAUGCAUGUCCUGGGGUGGAAAGCUUUUGCGGUGUGGGAUGGGCCCGCGGCCUAUCAGCUUGUUGGUGGGGUGAUGGCCUACCAAGGCGACGACGGGUAGCCGGCCUGAGAGGGUGACCGGCCACACUGGGACUGAGAUACGGCCCAGACUCCUACGGGAGGCAGCAGUGGGGAAUAUUGCACAAUGGGCGCAAGCCUGAUGCAGCGACGCCGCGUGAGGGAUGACGGCCUUCGGGUUGUAAACCUCUUUCAGCACCGACGAAGCGCAAGUGACGGUAGGUGCAGAAGAAGGACCGGCCAACUACGUGCCAGCCGCCGCAGAAA
rnacentral:rRNA from 1 species